rnacentral:rRNA from 1 species
UACGUAGGCAGCAAGCGUUGUUCGGAAUUACUGGGCGUAAAGAGUGUGUAGGCGGUGCUCUAAGUUCGUUGUGAAAUCUCCCGGCUUAACUGGGAGGGUGCGGCGGAAACUGGAGUGCUUGAGCGCGGGAGAGGAAAGCGGAAUUCCUGGUGUAGCGGUGAAAUGCGUAGAUAUCAGGAGGAACACCUGUGGUGUAGACGGCUUUCUGGACCCUAGCUGACGCUGAGACACGAAAGCGUGGGUAGCAAACAGG